CCUACGGGUGGCAGCAGUGGGGAAUAUUGCACAAUGGGGGAAACCCUGAUGCAGCGACGCCGCGUGAGCGAAGAAGUAUCUCGGUAUGGAAAGCUCUAUCAGCAGGGAAGAAAAUGACGGUACCUGACUAAGAAUCCCCGGCUAAAUACGUGCCAGCAGCCGCGGGAAUACGCAGGGAGCAAGCGUUAUCCGGAUUUACUGGGUGUAAAGGGAGCGCAGGCGGGGCGGUAAGUCUGAUGUGAAAGCCCGGGGAUCAACCCCAGGACUGCAUUGGAUACUGUCGAGCUGGAGUGUCGGAGGGGUACGUGGAAGUCCUGGUGUAGCGGUGAAAGGCGUAGAUAUUAGGAGGAACACCAGUGGCGAAGGCGGCUUACUGGACUGUAACUGACGUUGAGGCUCGAAAGCGUGGGGAGCAAACAGGAUUAGAUACCCGAGUAGUC
rnacentral:rRNA from 1 species